GGAGGAUCCGAGCGUUAUCCGGAUUUAUUGGGUUUAAAGGGAGCGUAGAUGGAUGUUUAAGUCAGUUGUGAAAGUUUGCGGCUCAACCGUAAAAUUGCAGUUGAUACUGGAUGUCUUGAGUGCAGUUGAGGCAGGCGGAAUUCGUGGUGUAGCGGUGAAAUGCUUAGAUAUCACGAAGAACUCCGAUUGCGAAGGCAGCCUGCUAAGCUGCAACUGACAUUGAGGCUCGAAAGUGUGGGUAUCAAA
rnacentral:rRNA from 1 species